UACGGAGGGUGCGAGCGUUGUCCGGAAUCACUGGGCGUAAAGGGCGCGUAGGCGGGUCUUUAAGUCAGGGGUGAAAUCCUGGAGCUCAACUCCAGAACUGCCUUUGAUACUGAGGAUCUUGAGUUCGGGAGAGGUGAGUGGAACUGCGAGUGUAGAGGUGAAAUUCGUAGAUAUUCGCAAGAACACCAGUGGCGAAGGCGGCUCACUGGCCCGAUACUGACGCUGAGGCACGAAAGCGUGGGGAGCAAACAGG
rnacentral:rRNA from 1 species